rnacentral:rRNA from 1 species
GAGUUUGAUCAUGGCUCAGGAUGAACGCUGGCGGCGUGCUUAACACAUGCAAGUCGAACGAACGACUAUUAACAGAACCUUUCGGGGCGAAGAUGAUAGAAGUUAGUGGCGGACGGGUGCGUAACGCGUGGGUAAUCUGCCUUUGUCAAAGGAAUAACUAUUCGAAAGAAUAGCUAAAACCGUAUAACAUAUUAAUAGGGCAUCCUAAUAAUAUCAAAACGAUAGUGGACAAAGAUGAGCCCGCGUCUGAUUAGCUAGUUGGUGAGAUAAAAGCCCACCAAGGCAACGAUCAGUAGCCGACCUGAGAGGGUGAACGGCCACAUUGGAACUGAGACACGGUCCAAACUCCUACGGGAGGCAGCAGUGGGGAAUAUUGCACAAUGGGGGGAACCCUGAUGCAGCAACGCCGCGUGAGUGAAGAAGGCAUUCGUGUCGUAAAACUCUGUAGUAGGGGAAGAAAGAAAUGACAUUACCCUAAAAGAAGCCCCG